rnacentral:rRNA from 1 species
UACGUAGGGUGCGAGCGUUGCCCGGAUUUAUUGGGCGUAAAGGGCGCGCAGGCGGCCACGCGCGUCCGUUGUGAAAUCGCUCGGCUCAACUGGGCGAGGUCAGCGGAUACGGCGUGGCUGGAGCAAGCUAGGGGGCAAUGGAAUUCCCGGUGUAGAGGUGAAAUUCGUAGAUAUUGGGAAGAACACCGGUGGCGAAGGCGGCCAUCUGGACCGGCACUGACGCUGAGGCGCGAAAGCGUGGGGAGCAAACAGG